UUUUUCAUAUUGUUCUCUCUGUAAUGAGCGAUUCUCUCUUGGAUCUUUGUGAUCUUUGUGUAGAUUUCUGUAAAGAGAUUGAAUCUUUAUGAGCUCUUGUGUGAGUUCAAUUCGGUGUUGAGGGUUUUGAUAGUUGUUGUGGUUGGAACUGUGUGUUCCGUUUGUAAUCGAAGUUUGUGGUAUUUGGCCGGUGAUUUUUAGUGGAUUUGAGCCUAUUCCUUAUGGAUGCUCAACGGGGACUAGGCGAUUUGUUAAAUCGCUGAACCUCGGGGCUUCG
rnacentral:lncRNA from 1 species